CUACAAUGAUGAGCUUCUACUUUUGGUCUGUGUUUAUGAAAUGCCAUGAAUUAUCUCAAGUUCUGAGUCU